AAUGAGCGCUGGCGGCAUGCCUAACACAUGCAAGUCGAACGAAGGCUUCGGCCUUAGUGGCGCACGGGUGCGUAACGCGUGGGAAUCUGCCCUUGGGUUCGGAAUAACAGUUAGAAAUGACUGCUAAUACCGGAUGAUGUCGUAAGACCAAAGAUUUAUCGCCCAAGGAUGAGCCCGCGUAGGAUUAGCUAGUUGGUGGGGUAAAGGCCUACCAAGGCGACGAUCCUUAGCUGGUCUGAGAGGAUGAUCAGCCACACUGGGACUGAGACACGGCCCAGACUCCUACGGGAGGCAGCAGUGGGGAAUAUUGGACAAUGGGCGAAAGCCUGAUCCAGCAAUGCCGCGUGAGUGAUGAAGGCCUUAGGGUUGUAAAGCUCUUUUACCCGGGAUGAUAAUGACAGUACCGGGAGAAUAAGCUCCGGCUAACUUCGUG
rnacentral:rRNA from 1 species